CAUUGCUGACUUGAGCUUCUCUUUUUGUUUGCUGUGUGUUUUGCCUCCUGCUCAUUAUGUCUCUCCAUACAGAUGUGCCCUUAGCCACCCACUCUGAUGUAUUGUCUUGCAGCUGAGCUGGGAAAUUGUGUCAUUGACGAGGAAUAGGAAUUGUGUUGGACUGGAUAUAGACACAUAGCUCUGAAAGUAAUGCCUCCUAUUUAUUUCCAUGGAAAGUACAACUCUUAAAUGGCACACAAUAAUCCUGCUUGAUGGAGUGGAAUUAUAGUUACGGAAUUCGAUUUUUCAUCGUAAUCCCCAUUGUACCUCUGCAUUUUACGGGCUGUGAACCAAAGCCUUCAUGUUGCACUCAUAUUAAUCUUUGACAGAGGAGGUGGCCCUCUGUAGCCACUGCUGAAAUACAUCUUUUUGUCCUCCAUAUACAUUCAGCAAGCGUUAGUGAAUGUCAGUGGAUGCAAUUCUUUGUGCAUGGAGGAGCGCAGCGAUGCACUUCCAUGUGAGAUGCCGUUUGGUCAGACUGCCCCUCUAUUGCCAUCCACCACAUGGUACCAAAACACAGUGGGAUAUUGGUGGGAACGUUCAGCCUCUGCUUUGUACCGCCAGCGUUGGCCUUGGACAGCAUGGGCCACCACAAUAAAUAGGGAGGCAUUACUUUCAGAGCAGCACUGAUGGAAUUCAUGGAAUUGUAAUUACGUACAUAAUAAAACAUUUGAAUUGUCAAUAUUUCUGGUAAAUCUUUCUAAAAAGGGGGAACAAAAACAUGAAACCAGUGGGAUAUUUGACCUUUUCUUUUUGGUGACAGCAGUGCAUCAGGCCGGUUUGGCCGCAGUGUCUGGAAUUCUUAGGGGAGUCUCAACAUCUUCAUUGGAGAUUUUGGAUGAAAUGUUACUCCUGUUGAACUUCAUCCCUGAAAACAGUUAUCCACAAAGUUACAUACUACCAAAAAAGCCAUGCCGUGAGUGAAGGCUGAUGAUGAAGUGAGAGAUGUUUCUCUCUGGUAAGAUAGGGACUGUUGAAGUCUUCACCAGCCAGGGCUCUAGCUGCAUGGCCCAAGCUGCAGAAAGCAAAGGUAAGAACUGGGAGAAGGAGGAUCUGCCUGCUGUCAGUGAAGAUCACAUUUGUGACCAUCUAAAGAACCUGCAAGUGCACAAGUGCGUGGGACCCAAUGAGAUCCACCCACGGCAUAUGAGGCAGACACAAUUGCCAAACUGCUAUCCAUCAUAUUUGAAAGGUCAUGGUAGACUGGUAAAGAUUCCACCAAUUGGAAAAGGGGAGACAUAAUCCCCAUUUCACUAAAGGGGGAAAAAGAAAUAUUACCGACCUAAAGGCCACUCAGUCUCACCUCUGUGCCUGGCAAGAACAUGGGGCAGAUCGUACUGAUGGCCGUACUGAGGCACGUGGAAAAUAAGGAGGAGGUGAUUGGUGGAAACCGACAUGGCUUCACCAAGGGCAAGUCAUGCCUGACAAACUUGGUGGCCUUGUAUGAUGCAGUUACAGCAUCAGUGGAUAAAUGAAGAGCAACUUAUGUAAUCUACCUGGACUUGUGCAAAGGAUUGGACACAGCCCUGCAUGACAUCUCAUCGCCAAAUUGGAGACUAAAUGCUUUUGUUGGACAAACAACUGGCUGGACAAGGAAUUAGCUGGAUGGUCACACUCAGUGAUCUGUGGUCAGUGGCUCCCUGUGCAGUGGAGACCGGUGAUGGGUAGCAUUGCUCAGGGACUGGUUCUGAGACCAGUGCUACUUAAGUGUUUGUGGGUGACCUGGAUGGCUGGAUUGUGUGCACGCUCAGCAGGUUUGCCGGCGAUGCAAGCUGAGUGGAGCAGUUGACAUGCUAGAGGAAAGGGAUGCCAUCCAGAGGGAUGUGGACAGGCUUGAGAGGCAGUCCCGUGCCAACCUCAUGAAGUUCAACCAUGACAUAGGUGAAGUUGCGCAGCUGUGUCGGGACAAUCCCUAGAUCAUAUAUAGGCAGGACAGAGAGAACAGCUUGAGAGCAGCUUGAACCCUGAGAGAAUGUUCUGGGGGUGUUGCCUUGAUGAAAGACUCAACCUGAGCAACAAUGUGCUCUUGCAGCCCAGAAGGCCGAAUUUAUCCUGGGUUGCCUUGUGAAAAGUGUGCCUAGAUUGUUGAGAGUGGUGAUUCUGCUCCUCUACUUGCACUCUUUAGACCCCACCUGGAGUUCUGUGCCCAGCUGUCGUACCUGCUACACAAGAAGUGCAAGGAGCUGUUGGAGCAGGUCUGGAGGAGGGCCACAGAGAUGAUGAGAGGGUUGGAGCACCGCUUCUAUGAGGACAGGCUGAGAGAGCUGGGGGACUUCGGCCUGGAAAAGGGGAGAACCUUAUAGUGGCUUUCCAGUACCUGAAGGGGCCUACAGGAAAUUUGGAAAGAGAGUUUUAUUAGUGCUGUGGUUUGCUGUGUGUGGAGCCCUUCGUUUCCAAGUGCUACAGGCACUGCAUUCUUCCUUUGCUGAGCUGUGCUUCUUAUGGUGUUUGCUGUGCGUUUUGCCUCCUGCUCAUUAUGUCUCUCCAUACAGCUGUGCUCUGAUCCACCCACUCUGAUGCAUUCUCUUGCAGCUGAGCUGGGAAAUUGGGUCUUUGCUGAGUCCAGCAACCAGCACUACAGCUGCUCGCAUGGUGUUGUGACACACCAUAACUCAUGGGUGUCCAACCUUCUGGCUUGCCUGGGCUGCAUUGUGUUAGUCGGAAUUGUCUUGGUUUGCAUGUAGGUACAUUGCUUGGAAAGUAAUGCCUCCUCUUUAUUUCCAUGGAAACUGGAACCGACACAAGGAACACAAUAGCGCUGUUGGAUAGUGCUGAUUCCCAGUUAGAAAAUGCUGUUUUUUCAACAUAGUCAUCAUCAUAGCUAUGCGUAUUCACUGGCAGUGAUCCUGAGCCUGGACGUUGCUGUCAUGAUCAUCUGCACCAGUGAAGCUGACCAUCUGUUGCUACUGCUGAAACACACCACUCACCACCUCAGGGUGCUCACCUCCACUGCCUGAUCUCCAUAAUCAUUCUGCAAGUGUUGACGAAUGUCCGUGAUUGAACUUUUUCUGCAUGGAGUUUUUCAUUGACAAUCAGAGCUUGUUAAAAUCUUCCAUGUCAGAUCUUAUUUUGUCAAUCUGCCCCUCUGCUGCCAUCUGCCAAACGGUAACAAAAGGUAAUGGGAUAUUGGUGGGAUGGUUCAACCUCUUCUGUCAUUCCACCAAAGUACACCUUGCAUAUCGUGGGACACCGCAAUAAAAUGGGAAGCAUUACUUUCCAAGCUGCCCUCAUUGAGUAUACAGCAUCAUUAUUAUGAAAGUACUAAAACAUUUGCAUUUUAAAAAUAUUUCUUAAAACUUAUAUAAAAGAGGAACAGAAACAUGAAAGGAGUGUGACAUUUUCCUGGUGAGAACAAUGCAUCAGGCUGGUUUGGUGGUACCAGAUGCAAUUCUUACUGACGACUCAGUGUCCUCUUCAGAGUAUUCUGAUGAAAAGUUUCUCCACCUGUACUUCAUCCUUGAUAACAGAUAUUCACAAAUGUACAUACAACAAAGAAACAAAGACAUGAGUAAAGGCUGAUGGUGAAGUGAGAGAUAUUUCUCUCUGGUAAGAUAGGGACUGUUGAAGUCUUCACCAGCCAGGGCUCUAGCUGCAUGGCCCAAGCUGCAGAAAGCAAAGGUAAGAACUGGGAGAAGGAGGAUCUGCCUGCUGUCAGUGAAGAUCACAUUUGUGACCAUCUAAAGAACCUGCAGGUGCACAAGUGCAUGGGACCCGAUGAGCUCCGUGCACGAGUUCUGUGGCAGAUGAAGUUGACAGGCUACUAUCCAUCAUAUUUGAAAGGUCAUGGCAGCCUGGUGAAGUUCCCACUGUAUGGAAAAGAAGAAACAUAACCCCCAUUUUCAAGAAAGAUAAAAAAGAUCCAGAAAACUGACAGCCAGUCAGUCUUACCAGUGUGCCUGACAGGACUAUGAAGCCUGAAGGCCUCCUGAAGGCUUCCUGAAGGCCCUACUGAAGAACAUGGAAAAUAAGGAGAUGGUGACUGGUGGUAACCGCCAUGGCUUCACCAAGGGCAAGUCAUGCCUGGCAAGCUUGGUGGCCAAGUUACAGCAUCAGUGGAUAAAGGAAGAGCGGGUGGUUUAAUCUACUUGGACUUAUGCAAAGGUUUGGGCACAGUCCCGCAUGACAUCUGGUUGCUACAUAGGAGAAAAAUUGUUUUUGAUGGAGAAACUACUUGCUGGAUAACAAAUUAGAUGGAUGGUAACAGUGAAUGAUCUGUGGUCAACGACUCCAUGUCCAGUGGAGACCAGUGAUGUGUGGCAUUCCUCAGGGACUUUUUUCUGGGACCGGUGCUAUUUAAGUGUUUGUGGGUGACAUGGAUGGUUGGACUGAGUGCACCCUCAGCAGGUUUGCAGUUGAUGCAAGCUGAGUGGUGCCGUUGACAUGCUAGAGGUAAGAGAUGCCAUCCAGAGGGACACGCUCAGUCUUGAGAGGCAGUCCUGUGCCAACCUCAUGAAGUUCAACCAAGACACGUGCAGCAUUGUGCACCUGGGUCAGGGCAAUCCCUAGCUCAAAUGCAGGCUGGUCAGAGAAUGGCUUGAGAGCAGCCCUGAGGAGAAGGACUUCAAGGUGUUGGUUGAUGAAAGACUCUACAUGGGCAGCAGUGUGCUUUUGUGGUCCAGAAGGCAGAAGUUAUCUAGGGUUGCCUCAAGAGAAGCACGACAAACCGUUCAAUGGAAGUGAUUCUUCCCCUCUACUCUGUCCUCUUGAGACCCCACCUGAGUACUGCAUGCAGUUUUGAGGCCUACCAUGUAAGAAGGACAUGGAUCUGUUGGAGUAGGUUCAGAGGAGCACCACAAGGAUGAUGAAAGGGCUGGAGCAUCUCCCCUGUGUGGACAGGCUGAGAGUGCUGGGGCUCUACAGCCUGGAGAAGAAAGGACUCUGGGGGUACCUUAUAGUGGACUUCCAGUACAUGAAGAGGCACACGGGAAAGUUGGGGAGGGAUUUUUAAAAGGACAUGUACUGACAGGAUGAGGGAAAAUGGCUUUGAAGUCAUAGAGAGUAGGUUUAGACUAGGUAUGAAGAAGAAAAUCUUUACUGUAGGGGUGGUGAGAAACUGGAAGAAGUUACCAGGAGGUGUGGAUGACCCCACCCUGAAAGCGUCCUAGGCCAGACUGGAUGGGGCUGUGAGCAAUCUGGUCUGGUGGGUUGUGGCCCUACUUCAGCAGAGGAGUUGGAUUCAGAGGAUCUUGAAGGUCCCUUCCAACCCAAACCAUUCUAGGAUUCUCGGAAAAUUGGGUAAAGGCAUGUGGUAAGAUCUUUGAGUUGGAUAUAUGGUUGCAACUCCAGAUGUUCCCUUUGAAAGUUAUUUGCUAAUGUAUGUAUAUGAACAGAAAAUGAAGAUGUAGGCAUAAAUUCAUGAUUUUUAUUUCAAUCUUGAAUCCUAUUUCCAAAUUCCAUUUUCAGAAGUGAAAGCAUAAUUGCGUACUCUUUGUUGCUCAGAGCUGUGUGUUACGCAAGAGCAGUAAAAUGCAUGCAGUUUCUUCCUCUCUUUUUCCAUAUUCCUGUUUGCUCCGUUUUCCUACUGACACAUCUAUUCAUUUACAUGUACUGCCACCCCACAGAGGAUAAGGGAAGGUUGGGAAGACCUUUGUGCCUGGCAAGAUCAUGGGGCGGAACAUCAUGAAGGCCGUACUGAGGCUCCUGGAAAAUAAGGAGGAGGUGAUUGGUGGUAACCGACAUGGCUUCACCAAGGGCAAGUCCUGCGUGACAAACUUGGUGGGUUUUUUUGAUGAAGUUACAGCAUCAGUGGAUGAAUGAAGAGCAACUGAAGUCAUCUACCUGGACUUGUGAAAGGUUUGAUAUGGUUUCCCAUGACAUCUGGUCACCAAAUUGGAGAAAAAUUGCUGUGAUGGACAGACCACCCUGUGCUUAUGGAAUUGGCUGGAUGGUCACGCUCAGAGUGUUGUAGUCAAUACCCUGGUGUCUGGGUGAAGACCGUGGAUGUGUGUCUUUCCUCAGGGAUCAGUGCUGAGAUUGGUAUUAUUUAACAUCUUUGUAGGUGUCAUGGAGCAUGGAAUUGAGUGCACCCUCAGCAAGUUUGCAGAUGACACCGAGCUGAGUGGAGCAAUUGACAUGCUAGAGGGAAGGGAUGCCAUCCAGAGGAACCUGGUCAGGCUUAAGAAGUGGUCCCACGCCAACCUCAUGAAGUUCAACCAAGGCAAGUGUGAGGUCCUGCGUUGGGUUCCAGGCAAUCCCUAGAACACGUCCAGGUUGGGAGAGAGUGGCUUGAAAGCAACCCUGUGGAGAAAGAUUUGGGGGUGUCAGUUGGUGAAAGACUCUACAUGGGCAGCAGUGUGCCAGAAGGUCAAAGUUAUCCUGGGUUUCAUCAAGAGAAGCAUGACCAGCACGCUGAGAGAGGUGAUUCUGCCCUUCUAUUCUGUCCUUGUGAGACCCCACCUGGAGCACUGUGUCCAGUUCUGGUGCCUGCAACACAAAAAGGACGUGGAGCU